rnacentral:lncRNA from 1 species
AGUGAGUGUGCAGGCGUUGCCUAGUCUUGUCGAAGCCCACGUCUUCUGGUGCGGUAUGGCCUCUGUCCUCGGUCCUUGUUCUCCUGGUCAGGCCACUCCGUCGUAGCGAGUAUGUUUACGGUGGCAUUGUGCAAGGCAUGCGUAGGACGUGGCGCAGUAUGGUUCUGCAUACGGUCGGUUGACCCAGGCGUUUCCUCGUUAUCCGUCCCACCUGCUCCCUAGACCCACACCGAGCGGGCGCCCCCGGUCGGUUGUCCCAGUCGGCCCCGACCGAGUUGGUCAGGGGGAGUGGUAUGGGCGGUACGGUGCAUCCCCAGUCGGGAGGACUCGGUCGGGAGGACCCGAUUGGGAGAACUUAGUCGGGAGAACUCAGUCGGGGUCGGACUGUGGCCCCACCUCUGACUGGCUCCUUCCUGUCAGGGUGUCGACUAGGCUUCCCGGUCAGAGGACCAGAGGAAUCGGCCGGUGGCUAGAUCGGGGCCUUGGC